rnacentral:misc_RNA from 2 species
ACUCUUCAACCCACCAGUUUCUUGCUAAACUGCGCUGGUGUUUGGUUUCUGAACGUUGCUGGUUCCUUGUUGAACUUCAGCUCGCUUAAAAUACAUUAGCAUCUCAAUUUCGAAACUUGGAUUGACUCAGCGUAAUAGACUUUUCGCUGAGGACACCUUCAGGGUGGCCAUGUUAGAUAACGAUUGAUGCUUAUAGCACUCUAUCUAGUCACUCUUAG